rnacentral:rRNA from 1 species
GAUGAACGCUGGCGGCGUGCCUAAUACGUGCAAGUCGAGCGAACAGAUGAGGAGCUUGCUCCUCUGACGUUAGCGGCGGACGGGUGAGUAACACGUGGAUAACCUACCUAUAAGACUGGGAUAACUUCGGGAAACCGGAGCUAAUACCGGAUAAUAUAUUGAACCGCAUGGUUCAAUAGUGAAAGACGGUUUUGCUGUCACUUAUAGAUGGAUCCGCGCCGCAUUCGCUAGUUGGUAAGGUAACGGCUUACCAAGGCAACGAUGCGUAGCCGACCUGAGAGGGUGAUCGGCAACACUGGAACUAAGACACGGUCCAGACCCCUACGGGAGGCAGGAGUAGGGAAUCUUCCGCAAUGGGCGAAAGCCUGACGGAGCAACGCCGCGUGAGUGAUGAAGGGCUUCGGAUCGUAAAACUCUGUUAUUAGGGAAGAACAAAUGUGUAAGUAACUAUGCACGUCUUGACGGUACCUAAUCAGAAAGCCACGGCAAACUACGU